rnacentral:lncRNA from 1 species
AGGUAUGGGCCUAUGCAUAUGUGUUCUCAUUUGGCAGCUUAUCAUCUUAUCAAUCAAGUUGACAAAACUUGUAUUAAUUCACUACUUCAUAGGCUAAUUAAAAUAUUAUCCGUUCAAUUACACCAUAUCAUCGCAUUGGCCAAUAGUCAAUAGAAUCAAAAUUUGAUUACAAGAAACGACAUGAAUGCUUUAUAAUCAUUGAUUAAUUGAUAGUGACGGUUCAACACAAACUCACCUAUAUAUCC